ACGGCAGCACGGAGCUUGCUCUGGUGGCGAGUGGCGAACGGGUGAGUAAUAUAUCGGAACGUACCCUAGAGUGGGGGAUAACGUAGCGAAAGUUACGCUAAUACCGCAUACGAUCUACGGAUGAAAGUGGGGGAUCGCAAGACCUCAUGCUCGUGGAGCGGCCGAUAUCUGAUUAGCUAGUUGGCGGGGUAAAAGCCCACCAAGGCAUCGAUCAGUAGCUGGUCCGAGAGGACGACCAGCCACACUGGAACUGAGACACGGUCCAGACUCCUACGGGAGGCAGCAGUGGGGAAUUUUGGACAAUGGGCGCAAGCCUGAUCCAGCAAUGCCGCGUGAGUGAAGAAGGCCUUCGGGUUGUAAAGCUCUUUUGUCAGGGAAGAAACGGUGAGUUCUAAUACAGCUUGCUAAUGACGGUACCUGAAGAAUAAGCACCGGCUAACUACGUGCCAGCAGCCGCGGUAU
rnacentral:rRNA from 1 species